rnacentral:SRP_RNA from 1 species
CCGUGCUAGAUGGGGAAUUAGCGGUGCCCUGUAACCUGUAAUCCGCUACAGCAGGAUCGAUGCUUGUGCUAAGCUUCUACCGACCUGUUCGGAAGAAUUUGGCGGCGUUGAAGUUCUGGACUGUUGCAAUGGAUAGAAGAUAAACCCCGUCAGGCCUGGAAGGGAGCAGCGGUAAGUCUAUUUAUCCAUGUGCUGGCAGACCCCGGAAUUGAGCUUAUAGGUU